rnacentral:snRNA from 1 species
GUUCGUUCCUGAACAUAUACUAUAAUUAGAACAAUACAGAGAGGAUUUGCACGGCCCUUGAACAAGGAAGACACGCAAAAUUGUGAUGAACCCCAUUUUUUU